GUCUACGGCCAUACCACCCUGAACGCGCCCGAUCUCGUCUGAUCUCGGAAGCUAAG
rnacentral:rRNA from 1 species